rnacentral:ncRNA from 1 species
CAAAAGUUUUAUUUAAACUUUAAAAUUUGAGUUUAUUUUUUUUUAUAUGUAAAAUUUAUUUAAGAGCGGGAUUUGCAGUAGUUAAAUUUAAUUAUUAAAGAAAUUUAGAAUUAGGAAAAUUUUAUAAUAUUAACAUAAUUUGUGCCAGCAGUUGCGGUUAUACAAAUAAUAUAAUUAAAUUUUAUUAAUAAUAAUUAAUUGUUUAUUAUAUUUUAAUAUAAUAUUUAUUAAGUGAAAUUUUAAAUAUUUAAUAUGUAUAAAUAUAUUUAUGAAGUUAAGAAAUUUAAUUAAUAGACUAGGAUUAGAUACCCUAUUAUUUUAAAUGUAAUUUUUUAUAUUAAAUUAGUAUUAGUUAUUAUCUUGAAAAUUAAAAAAUUUGGCGGUAUUUUAAUUUUUUCAGAGGAACCUGUUGUGUAAAUGAUAAUCCACGAUUAAAUAAAUUUAUUUUAUUAAUUUGUAUAUCGUCGUAAUAAAAUAUUUUAUUAGAAAUAAAUAUUUAAAAUUUUAAAUUAAAAAAUUAAUCAGAUCAAGGUGCAGUUUAUAAAUAAAUAUUAAUGGGUUACAAUAAAUUUAUUUUUGGAAAAUUAUUUUUAAUAAUAAUUUGAAUUUGGAUUUGAUAGUAAUUUUAAUAAAUUAAUUAUUAUGAUUUAAGUUUUAAAAUAUGUACAUAUCGCCCGUCGCUUUCAUUUAAUAUGAAAUAAGUCGUAACAAAGUAGAUUUACUGGAAAGUGGUUCUAGAAUAUC